rnacentral:rRNA from 1 species
UUUUAGAUUAUAAUUUAAAGUCUAACCUGCCCACUGAUUUAAUUAUUUAAAGGCCGCAGUAUUUUGACUGUGCAAAGGUAGCAUAAUCAUUUGUCUUUUAAUUGAAGGCUGGAAUGAAUGGUUGAAUGAAGUAUUAACUGUCUCAAUUUUAUAAAUUAAGAAUUUAGCUUUUUAAUCAAAAGGUUUAAAUGAAAUUAAAAGACGAGAAGACCCUAUAGAUUUUUAUAAUAUUUAGUAUUAAUUUUAUUAAGUAAAAAAUUUUAUAAUUAUAUUAUUUAUUAUUUGAUUGGGGUGAUUAAAAAAUUUAAUAAACUUUUUUUUAUUAUAAACAUUAAUAUAUGAAUAUUUGAUCCAGUUUUAUUGAUUAUAAGAUUAAAUUACCUUAGGGAUAACAGCGUAAUUUUUUUAGAGAGUUCUUAUCGAUAAAAAAGAUUGCGACCUCGAUGUUGAAUUAAAGGUUAUUUUUAAAUGCAGAAGUUUAAAGUCUAGGUCUGUUCGACCUUUAAAUCUUU